AAUGAUUCGUUUAAUUUUUAACAGAUGGGGAUUAUUUAAAAAUCGCGAGGACAGGUACCAAGAGUGAGGGGAAGGUCCUGAAAAGCACAUGCUGAUUGGGUUGGCUUUACCAUUGCUUUUAACAAGACUAUGGUCUUUCUAAUUGUAAAGAAUAGUCAGGAAUCAACUAAAUUAGCAAGAGGUGGUUGAAAAGGUGCAUCUUUGGAAGACUACCUGUGAAAACAAUUGAAGUUCUUGGGUAUUUCAUCAGUUAACAUCAAUGAGAAGACAAGGAGAAUAUAAUGAGAACUUCAAAUAAGUUCUUAUUACAUUACAAUGAACAUCAUGGAGAACACAACGAGGUAAAAAUACUGGAAAUGGUUGUGCUGCUCGCCUGGGUAUGAUCCACAAUGAAAUAACCGAUAUCCUUUACUUUACUUAUACCCCAAUCUGAUUUCAAAAGUAAGACUUUAUGCUGGUAUGAUGCUUGUGAUUGAAAGCAUAUAAGUUUUUUUGAUCUUUACCGCUAUUUCACUAAAACAUGACGGAAAACCUCCAAAUUGUUAGAAAAAGAAAAAUUCUUUUUAUAGUUUCUAUUUUGUAGAAAAUACGAUAAUUGAUCUACACUGCUAAAUCUUGUUAUCGAAUACAAUUUGUUGUGAUUUAAUCUCAUAGAACUAUUGCAUGGAGUUAACUGUCACUGAAAGCACAUAAGUUUCUUUGAUAUCUAUCUGUGUGUGUUGACCUUAAUUCUGUAUAAUUCUAAUAGUGCAACAACACAACAAAUGUUAUUUCUUUAUCUGUAACUGUGAUCUGGCUUGUAAAUAAACUCAUAUAGAUUCUUAUAGAAUAGCAUAAUCCUAGAGCUCUUAUACUCUAGCUUCCCUACCUAUCAUUAUUUUUGUUACCCGAGGAACAAAUUUGUUUAAACAUGUAAGUCUUCUACUCUCCUUGUAAAUUUACUUCCCUGUAUAUUAUGUGUUGGGAUUUGAUUAACUAAGUUAUUUCCUAGGAGUUUCUCUUAGGAAGCUUAUUAAGACUAAUAAUCUUAUUGUUUAUUAUCUAAUUCAGAUUGGUUGCUUACACUGCUUAUUAUCCUGGUGGGAAGGCACAACAGAUAACUUUAUGAUUAGUGGGGGAAAAUAUUUGUCAACUUAUAUAACAACGGUGCAGGUGGUGGAACAUAUUGCGCAUUUGAAGCUCUAAGCUUGAUGGGAUUUAUUGAAGAUGACGUUUUGUCCAAAGGGACAACAUCUUUUGUUAUUGAUAUGAAAUCGUUGUUGGAAUGAGGCAAACAAUUGGUGGUGAUUUACAAGGCUGAGAGAACAAGGCGACUGACACCUGUUAUGCAUUUUGGAUUGGUGGCAUACUUAGAGUCUUGGGGGUUCAGAACUUCCAUGACAGUGCAGUCGUAUGAGAAAUUAUGCUUACUUGUGAAUCCUAGUUCAAAAACUUCAGAAAUCAUUAUGCUUUGGAGUUUUCCGAUCGUGAUAUACAGGGGACAACAUAUGUUGUGCUUGCAGGGAUUUUUUACGCCUCGACUUGAGCUGACUAUGUAUUUUUAUUUCUUGGUUCUAAAGAGCAAACUCGUAGAUAAAGAAACCUUGAUGGUUUGUAUUUGACUUUUGAUUUAUAAGAAAGCUCCAAUUCAAGCGACUCGAAAGAAAUUUGGCUUUGUAAACUCCAGGUACUUGAAUAACAACCACUUUAUGGAACACAGAUCGCAUUGGAUGUGCAUAGUUUGUUAGAAUUGUUUUUGGGUAGAUUUCAUAAUGAAUAGAAGGAUUCCUUUGUAUUUGUGUUUCGUAGUGAAUGUAUGGAUGGCAGAAUCCGGAUAGUUUGCAAAGGAUAUGUAUAGUUUGCUUAUUGAAAGUAAGAAAAUUCAAUUGUGUUUCAGAUUUAUUUGUAUUUCAGGCCUGUAAACUGGAAGUCCAGGUACAGGAUAGUUU